rnacentral:sRNA from 1 species
AAGUCCUUUAUUUAACUACAGAAUAGGUAUAGUAUGAGCAGCUGCAAUGCAAGCUUUUCCCUGCCCUACCACAUCAGAUUGCUUCAAGGCUGAUCUAGAAAGACUAACUCUGGGGUGGGGGAAUAGUU